rnacentral:lncRNA from 1 species
CACAGUAAAAAAUCAGGUCAAAACUGGCAAGAUCCUCCCAUCUAAGGCUUGAAUGACUGGCUCGGUGUGGCACUCCAAAACCAAAUAUUUGGAACAGCUAGCGUUGGCAGUCCAGCAAAAGAGGGGGUGAUAUUUGAGAGUUGGAUAGACUUUGUACUUCAGUUUGUAUUACAUACCCAUUUGAAAAUGGUUCCAAUGGUUAACUAGCG